rnacentral:rRNA from 1 species
UACAGAGGGUGCAAACGUUGCUCGGAUUUACUGGGCGUAAAGCGCGUGUAGGCGGACUCGCAAGUCGGUUGUGAAAUCCCUGGGCUCAACCUAGGAACUGCAUCCGAAACUGCUUGUCUUGAGUAAUGGAGAGGGUGGCGGAAUUCCCGGUGUAGAGGUGAAAUUCGUAGAUAUCGGGAGGAACAUCAGUGGCGAAGGCGGCCACCUGGACAUUUACUGACGCUGAGACGCGAAAGCGUGGGGAGCAAACAGG